rnacentral:rRNA from 1 species
CCUACGGGGCGCAGCAGUGAGGAAUAUUGGUCAAUGGGAGGAAUCCUGAACCAGCCAUGCCGCGUGCAGGACGACGGCUCUACGAGUUGUAAACUGCUUUUGUACCGGGGUAAAAUGCUCUACGAGUAGGGUUUUGAAAGUACGGUACGAAUAAGGAUCGGCUAACUCCGUGCCAGCAGCCGCGGUAAUACGGAGGAUCCGAGCGUUAUCCGGAUUUAUUGGGUUUAAAGGGUGCGUCGGUUGUUUUAUAAGUUAGCGGUGAAAUACCGAUGCUCAACAUCGGGGCUGCCGCUGAUACUGUAGGACUAGAGAUCGGAUGCAGCAGGCGGAAUGUGUAGUGUAGCGGUGAAAUGCAUAGAUAUUACACAGAACACCGAUUGCGAAGGCAGCUUGCUAGGCCGGAUCUGACACUGAUGCACGAAAGCGUGGGGAUCGAACAGGAUUAGAUACCCCUGUAGUC